GUAGGGAAUAUUGGACAAUGGGGGCAACCCUGAUCCAGCGACGCCGCGUGAGUGAUGAAGGCCUUCGGGUCGUAAAGCUCUGUUGCAGGGGAAGAACACAAUGACGGUACCCUGCUAGAAAGGAUCGGCUAACUUCGUGCCAGCAGCCGCGGUAAGACGAGGGAUCCUAGCGUCGUUCGGAAUUAUUGGGCGUAAAGCGGGUGCAGGUGGCUUGGUAAGUCAGAUGUGAAAGCCUGGGGCUUAACCCCAGAAGUGCAUUUGAUACUGCUGAGAUUGAGUGCUGGAGAGGCUAUUAGAAUUCCUGGUGUAGUGGUGAAAUACGUAGAUAUCAGGAGGAAUACCGGAGGCGAAGGCGGAUAGCUGGCCAGACACUGACACGCAGACCCGAAAGCGUGGGGAUCAAACAGGAUGAGAAACCCCUGUAGUCC
rnacentral:rRNA from 1 species